CAUCAAAGAUCGUAACAUUUUAAUUAAAAAUAUUGUUUAUGCAUUCGUCUGAAGAGAGGAUUGGUAUGAUUUUCAAAUUGUCUCUAAUUUUGUAAAAUUUCAAGUUUUUAAUUUACAUUUUAAUGAUACGAAUUUUCCGCCAAAAAUAUAACCAUCUAUCCCCAUUUAAGGAAAGAUACGACCUUUUUUUUACCGACGAACAUGACGUUUUAAACGAAAAUUUAUAAGAAUUAAUUUUUUUCAAUUCUCCUUAUGUUU